UACGUAGGGUGCGAGCGUUUGUCCGGAAUUACUGGGCGUAAAGAGCUCGUAGGUGGUUUGUCGCGUUGUUCGUGAAAACCGGGGGCUUAACCCUCGGCGUGCGGGCGAUACGGGCAGACUUGAGUACUGCAGGGGAGACUGGAAUUCCUGGUGUAGCGGUGGAAUGCGCAGAUAUCAGGAGGAACACCAAUGGCGAAGGCAGAUCUCUGGGCCGUAACUGACGCUGAGGAGCGAAAGCAUGGGGAGCGAACAGG
rnacentral:rRNA from 1 species